CUGUGGGACUGAAAACCAAAGAAGGCAGAGAUCAACUAUAGGGGAAAACAAUUAAAGCUUUUCAGUAUGUUCAUGAACAUUAUUUAGAAGAUGCGGAUUGGUUUUUGAAAGCAGAUGAUGACACAUAUGUCAUACUAGACCAUUUGAGAUGGCUUCUUUCAAAAUAUGACCCUGAAUAACCCAUUUACUUUGGGGGAAGAUUUAAGCCCUUAUGUAAAGCAGGGCAACAUGAGUGGAGGAGCAGGAUAUGUGCUAAACAAAGAAGCCUUGAAGAGAUUUGUUGAUGCAUUUAAAACAGACAAGUGUACACAUAGUUCCUCCAUUGAAGACAGCACGGGGGAGAUGCAUGGAAAUGACAAGUGUAGAAGCAGGAGAUUCCAGAGAUACCACUGGAAAAAAAACUUUUCAUCCCUUUGGCCAAAACACCAUUUAAUGAAGGUAUCAAGCUACCUUACCUGAAAAUAUACCAAAGGAAAUUCGUCAAACAAACAAAAGUGGAGACACAAAAGUGAAGUCAGGAAACCCUUGAAAGAAAAUCGUGAAUAAACAAAGAUCUUUUAGGCUGACUGACAGCACCAUGAAUACCAUGGCAACCCCCGUGACCCACACAUCCACCUCUGGACGGCCUCCCAGAAUUAGAAAAUCUGAAGUAACAGCAAGACCAUGAAAAGAGGAAGAAUGAUCAACCCCUGCAAUGCCUAAUUAACUUGAGACAUUCUUCUGUUGUUCCUUAUUCCUGUCUCAAUUGAUAAGGCAAUGGACUUUGUAACCGACCUUGGUCAACCUUGUGACUCCAGACCCUCUGACCCCCUCCCAGCUUGCAAAAACCACCCUACACUGUAACUUCUAUAACUUUCCACUGCCUACCCCAAACCUAUAAAACCAACUCUGAUCCCACUGCCCUCCGCUGACUCUCUUUUCAGACUCAGCCCGCCCGCACCCAGGUGAAUAAAUAGGCAUGUUACUCACACAAAGUCUGUUUGGGGGGUCUCUUCAUUCAGCAUGUGCAUUUUAACAACAAAUACUCUAGUAGGUUUUUUUUUAAAAAAAAAAAUAGGUAUGUAUUUUAAUUUUUAUUAAUUUUUACCUAAAAAUUGGAAGGACAGACAGCCUUGAAAUCAUUUCUUUCCUUCAUUUUUCAUGGUCACAAAACCUGAGUUCUGGAUGUAUCACAAAUUAUCUAAUGUCAAGGGCUUAGCAUUAAUACUGGUAUGUCAGACAUGUAAUAGGCUGUUAAAAAUGUUUUGGAUUUGAGGACCUUCCUUAGAGUAUCUCAGGUUUUACAAAAGGCUCCUUUUUUAGAGCUUCACAUGGUGACUCUGUCCUUGGGUUAUUAUGGAGCUCUUUGGGAAAGCCCUUGACUCCAUCAGUUACUGGGCCCAUUUUAUUGAAAUUACCCAGAGUCAGCUUGACACUUGUUCUCCCUAAACUGCUAUCCUUUUGCAGAAGGGCCAGGUCAGUGGAAGGGCACAUUGGGUACUGCAAUUUCAGGAAUUCAGACCAGAGUAAUUUGGGGAGGCUUUCUUUGGUUUAUUCUAUUCUGAGGAUUCUGGGGUGACUAAACACAACCUAGAGUCACCGAUGAUGUCUGAAUUCAUUUUGGACAACUACAGAGGACCCUGCAGAUCUUAGGCUGUUCCUUGAAAUAGAAUUGAUUGCCUCUGAGGAACUGAAAUUUAUUCAUUCAUGCAUUUACUCAUCUACCAUAGGCUAGUAAAAUUGUAGUUACAAAGGCUGUAUUGUUUCUGCCCCUAAGAAAGACAUGCCCUAGUGGGAAGACAAAUGUCUAAUUUAUGAUUGAGACAUACUGGAGAUAAUCUGGCAGGACAGGGGCAGAAUCACUUAAAUGAACAGUUUCCUGGGUGUUCUCCUAAUUCCCUCUCUGCUCCUGCAGGAUCAUCCUGAAUGCUUUGGAGAAAUUGCAUUCUUUGGAGAAAUGCUUUGGGGUACCCAGAACGACCUAGCCACAAAGUGGCCAGCCUUUCCACCUUUAAGGAACAUGCCAGGCCUUACACUGCACCGUGAUGGCUCCAUGGAACAACAUUGCCACCCACUGGUAAUGAGAAGUCUCUGUGGACCUUCACCGGGCCCUAAGUCAAUCUGGAACUCUUUGGCCAUGCAAAAACAGGUUUAAGGUCAUUGAUACAGCUGGUAGGCAUUGGAACAAAAUUAGUCUCAUGUGACUUUUAUCAAAUAUAUUAAGGAACGCAAAGAAUACAUAUAGAAAAAUGGGGCCGGGCGCGGCAGC